GUAAACACUUUGUGUCAGAAGGUGGAAAAAAGCAACAAGAAUUUGAGUGAUUUUAACAAAGACCUGGGUCUGAGCGUCCAUGAAACUGCAGCUCUGGUUUUCUCACGGUCUGCAGAGGUCACUAUUCAUCAGAAACGAUUCAGUGGAGGAACUGCAAAAAGGUCAAGGCUUGCUGAUGCACGUGGGAAGUGAAGGAGGUCCAGUGUGGUCGGAUCGGGUAGAACUAAUGU